AGCAGCCGCGGUAAUUCCAGCUCCAAUAGCGUAUAUUAAAGUUGUUGCAGUUAAAAAGCUCGUAGUUGAAUUUCGGGAUCAAUUAAUUGGUCGUGCCUCUGGUACGUACUGAUUUUAUUGGUUUCUCCCUUCUGACGAACCAUGAUGUCAUUAAUUUGGUGUCGUGGAGAAUCAGGACUGUUACUUUGAAAAAAUUAGAGUGUUUAAAGCAAGCUAACGCUUGAAUACAUUAGCAUGGAAUAAUGAAAUAGGACGUUUGAUCCUAUUUUGUUGGUUUCUAGGAUCGACGUAAUGAUUAAUAGGGAUAGUUGGGGGCAUUAGUAUUCAAUUGUCAGAGGUGAAAUUCUUGGAUUUAUUGAAGACUAACUACUGCGAAAGCAUUUGCCAAGGAUGUUUUCAUUAAUCAAGAACGAAAGUUAGGGGAUCGAAGACGAUCAGAUACCGUCGUAGUCUUAACCAUAAACUAUGCCGACUAGGGAUCGGAUGAUGUUAAUUUUUUAAUGACUCAUUCGGCGCCG
rnacentral:misc_RNA from 1 species